rnacentral:rRNA from 1 species
AACGAACGCUGGCGGCAUGCCUAACACAUGCAAGUCGAACGAGACCUUCGGGUCUAGUGGCGCACGGGUGCGUAACGCGUGGGAACCUGCCCUUAGGUUCGGAAUAACUCCCCGUAAGGGGUGCUAAUACCGGAAAAUGUCUUCGGACCAAAGAUUUAUCGCCUUUGGAUGGGCCCGCGUUGGAUUAGCUAGUUGGUAGGGUAAAAGCCUACCAAGGCGACGCUCCAUAGCUGGUCUGAGAGGAAGAUCAGCCACACUGGGACUGAGACACAGCCCAGACUCCUACGGGAUGCAGCAGUGGGUAAUAUUGGACAAUGGGCGAAAGCCUGAUCCAGCUAGGCCGCGUGAGUGAUGAAGGCCGGAGAGUUGUAAAGCUCGUUUACCCGGGAUGAUAAUGACAGUACCGGGAGAAUAAGCUCCGGCUAACUCCGUG